UGGCAUGCACCUGUAGUCCCAGCUACUCGGGAGGCUAAGUCAGGAGAAUUGCUUGAACUCAGAAGGCAGAGACUGCAGUGAGCCGAGAUCAUGCCACUGCACUCCAGCCUGGGUGACAGAGCCAGACUCUGUCUCCAGAAAAAAAAAGAAAAAAAGAAACUAGGAUUGCAAUUUGUGUUUUUUUCUACUUUGCAUUUGCUUGCGUUGCAGGAGGACGCCUGGUGGAAGGUGAUUGGAUCAUGGAGGCAGUUUCUCACGAAUGGUUUAGCCCCAUCCCCUUGGUGCCUUGGUGCUGUUCUCAUGAUGAGUUUCCCUAUGGAGAGAACCAUGUGAACAAGAAACUGAUGUCUUUGGACAACAGCCAGCGAGGAUCUGAGACCUGCCAAGAAUUACAUAAAUGUGUUUGUGGAAGUGGAUAUUCAUCUAGCCCAGCCUCGUAUGAUUGGUGCUCCAGCCAACAACUUCAUGACACCCUUGCAAAGCAUCUUGAUCCUGAGAAAUCCACUUAAACUUUGCCCCGAUUCCUGACCCACAGCUUUGGGAUAAUGAACGUCUGAUGUUUUCAGCCACUAAGUUUUGGUAAUUUUUUGUGCCCUGGAAGCUAACAAGUAUAUUUGUUAUCAUUGCAUCUCUCCUUACAAUUUUUUCAAUGUACCCUUAAGUUUGCCUCCCUUCCAAUAUUUGCUUUUACCCUGAGUUUUAGUCUAUUAAUUUCUUACAUUGGCUUAUAGUAAUUAUCUACAUAAUUAUCUAUUAUUUAUAGAACAUAUACUACGUAUUACAAUACAUAGUAGAAAAAAAUUUAGCUUGUUAUUAUGGAGUACUUUAAGUAUAUACAAAAGUAAAGUAAACAAAUAUAAUGGACCCCCAUGCACCUAUCACCUAGCUUCAACACUUAUGGUCAAUAUUGAUAUAGCACAACAAUAUUGACAAAACAACCCAUAGUCAAUAUCAUUUCACCUCUAUGUUUACCCAUUCUUCUCCCUCAGAUUAUUUUCAAGGAAG
rnacentral:lncRNA from 1 species